rnacentral:rRNA from 1 species
CGCGUGCAGGAAGAAUGCCCUAUGGGUAGUAAACUGCUUUUAUACGGGAAGAAAAAGAGCUACGUGUAGCUUACUGACGGUACCGUAAGAAUAAGGACCGGCUAACUCCGUGCCAGCAGCCGCGGUAAUACGGAGGGUCCGAGCGUUAUCCGGAAUUAUUGGGUUUAAAGGGUCCGUAGGCGGGCCGAUAAGUCAGGGGUGAAAGUCUGCCGCUCAACGGUAGAACUGCCUUUGAUACUGUCGGUCUUGAGUUAUAGUGAAGUUGCCGGAAUAUGUAGUGUAGCGGUGAAAUGCAUAGAUAUUACAUAGAACACCGAUGGCGAAGGCAGGUGACUAACUAUAUACUGACGCUGAUGGACGAAAGCGUGGGGAGCGAACAGGAUUAGAUACCCUGGUAGUCCACGCCGUAAACGAUGGAUACUAGCUGUCCGGAACCUUGAGUUCUGGGCGGCCAAGCGAAAGUGAUAAGUAUCCCACCUGGGGAGUACGUUCGCAAGAAUGAAACUCAAAGGAAUUGACGGGGGCCCGCACAAGCGGUGGAGCAUGUGGUUUAAUUCGAUGAUACGCGAGGAACCUUACCAGGGCUUAAAUGCAUAUUGACAGGGUCAGAGAUGACUUUUCCUUCGGGCAAUUUGCAAGGUGCUGCAUGGUUGUCGUCAGCUCGUGCCGUGAGGUGUCAGGUUAAGUCCUAUAACGAGCGCAACCC